AUUGAACGCUGGCGGCAGGCCUAACACAUGCAAGUCGAAUGGUAACAGGAAACAGCUUGCUGUUUCGCUGACGAGUGGCGGACGGGUGAGUAAUGUCUGGGAAACUGCCUGAUGGAGGGGGAUAACUACUGGAAACGGUAGCUAAUACCGCAUAACGUCGCAAGACCAAAGAGGGGGACCUUCGGGCCUCUUGCCAUCAGAUGUGCCCAGAUGGGAUUAGCUAGUAGGUGGGGUAACGGCUCACCUAGGCGACGAUCCCUAGCUGGUCUGAGAGGAUGACCAGCCACACUGGAACUGAGACACGGUCCAGACUCCUACGGGAGGCAGCAGUGGGGAAUAUUGGACAAUGGGCGCAAGCCUGAUGCAGCCAUGCCGCGUGUAUGAAGAAGGCCUUCGGGUUGUAAAGUACUUUCAGCGGGGAGGAAGGGAGUAAAGUUAAUACCUUUGCUCAUUGACGUUACCCGCAGAAGAAGCACCGGCUAACUCCGUG
rnacentral:rRNA from 1 species